UCCAGACUCCUACGGGAGGCAGCAGUGGGGAAUAUUGCACAAUGGGGGAAACCCUGAUGCAGCGACGCCGCGUGAGCGAUGAAGUAUUUCGGUAUGUAAAGCUCUACCAGCAGGGAAGAAAAUGACGGUACCUGACUAAGAAGCCCCGGCUAACUACGUGCCAGCAGCCGCGGUAAUACGUAGGGGGCAAGCGUUAUCCGGAUUUACUGGGUGUAAAGGGAGCGUAGACGGCAUGGCAAGCCAGAUGUGAAAUGCCGGGGCUCAACCCCGGGACUGCAUUUGGAACUGUUAAGCGGGAGUGUCGGAGAGGCAGGCGGAAUUCCUAGUGUAGCGGUGAAAUGCGUAGAUAUUAGGAGGAACACCAGUGGCGAAGGCGGCCUGCUGGACGAUAACUGACGUUGAGGCUCGAAAGCGUGGGGAGCAAACAGGAUUAGAUACCCUUGUA
rnacentral:rRNA from 1 species